rnacentral:rRNA from 1 species
GACGAACGCUGGCGGCGUGCUUAACACAUGCAAGUCGAACGGAAAGGCCCUGCUUUUGUGGGGUGCUCGAGUGGCGAACGGGUGGGUAACACGUGAGUAACCUGCCCUUGACUUUGGGAUAACUUCAGGAAACUGGAGCUAAUACCGGAUAGGAGCUCCUGCUGCAUGGUGGGGGUUGGAAAGUUUCGGCGGUUGGGGAUGGACUCGCGGCUUAUCAGCUUGUUGGUGGGGUAGUGGCUUACCAAGGCUUUGACGGGUAGCCGGCCUGAGAGGGUGACCGGCCACAUUGGGACUGAGAUACGGCCCAGACUCCUACGGGAGGCAGCAGUGGGGAAUAUUGCACAAUGGGCGGAAGCCUGAUGCAGCAACGCCGCGUGCGGGAUGACGGCCUUCGGGUUGUAAACCGCUUUCGCCUGUGACGAAGCGUGAGUGACGGUAAUGGGUAAAGAAGCACCGGCUAACUACGUG